rnacentral:miRNA from 1 species
GCAGACACAUUCCAUCCAAUCAGCAGCAGACCCUCCCUCCCAGACCCUUUCACCUCCUGGACAGCAUCCAUUUUACAUUCAUUGUGAAGCUGCAUUCUUAGUGAGCUGUCCAGAAAGUGGGAGGGCCUGGGAGGGAGGGUCUGCUGCUGAUUGGCUGGAAUGUGUCUG